GACAGAACUAAGGAUUUGAAUCUCUG
rnacentral:piRNA from 1 species